GUCAGAACACACAAGUUUGUAGAAGAAAAAAAUUGAUUCUAAAAAUCAGUCUCAACAGAGAUAAACAAAUGGCAAAAGCUUCAUUGUUGUUUCCUUACUUGAUAGUUAUAAUUCUCAUAGCAUUUGGAACAGGUUUUGCAAAUGCAUGUAACUUCCCGUGUCAUUCUCGGAACGGUUGUGGUAAUCUACACUGCCCUGGUUGCUUAAAGCAAUGCGUCAACUUUUGUUGCCUUUGUGAUUGUAGUCCACCACCCAAUGGAAAUGUUUCAUAAACAAAGAAUCAUAAUAAUUAAAUAAACUUGAGAUUUCAUUGCUCAAAUUAUGAUGUAUGAAUUCCCUGCCUUUGCAUUUGUAAUAAGAGAAGAUGAAAUAAUCAACAACAUUGGCAUCUCUUCAUUUGA